GCGCACCAGGCGCGAAACCUCCGCAAUACACGAAAGUGUGACGGGGCCAUCCCGAGUGCCGUCCGCUGAGGACGGCUUUUCCCCAGUGUACACAGCUGGGGGAAUAAGGAGAGGGCAAGCCUGGUGUCAGCCGCCGCGGUAAUACCAGCUCUCCGAGUGGUGGGGACGCUUAUUGGGCCUAAAGCAUCCGUAGCCGGCUGGGCAAGUCCUCCGUUAAAUCCAACGAUUCAAUCGUUGGGCUGCGGGGGAUACUGUCCAGCUUGGGGGCGGGAGAGGCCGACGGUAUUCCCGGGGUAGGGGUGAAAUCCUAUAAUCCCGGGAGGACCACCAGUGGCGAAGGCUGUCGGCUAGAACGCGCCCGACGGUGAGGGAUGAAAGCUGGGGGAGCGAACUGGAUUAGAUACCCGUGUAGU
rnacentral:rRNA from 1 species